rnacentral:rRNA from 1 species
CCUACGGGAGGCAGCAGUGAGGAAUAUUGGUCAAUGGACGCAAGUCUGAACCAGCCAUGCCGCGUGCAGGAAGACGGCUCUAUGAGUUGUAAACUGCUUUUGUACGAGGGUAAAUCCCGAUACGUGUAUCUGGUUGAACGUAUCGUACGAAUAAGGAUCGGCUAACUCCGUGCCAGCAGCCGCGGUAAUACGGAGGAUUCAAGCGUUAUCCGGAUUUAUUGGGUUUCAAGGGUGCGCAGGCGGAAGAUAAAGUCAGCGGUAAAAUUGUGGGGCUAAACCUUUUCGAGCCGUUGAAACUGGUUUUCUUGAGUGAGCGGGAGGUAGGCGGAAUUCGUGGUGUAGCGGUGAAAUGCAUAGAUAUCACGCAGAACUCCGAUUGCGAAGGCAGCAUACCGGCGCUCAACUGACGCUCAGGCACGAAAGUGUGGGUAUCGAACAGGAUUAGAUACCCGGGUAGUC